rnacentral:rRNA from 1 species
AUGAACGCUAGCUACAGGCUUAACACAUGCAAGUCGAGGGGCAGCAUGGUCUUAGCUUGCUAAGGCCGAUGGCGACCGGCGCACGGGUGAGUAACACGUAUCCAACCUGCCGUCUACUCUUGGACAGCCUUCUGAAAGGAAGAUUAAUACAAGAUGGCAUCAUGAGUCCGCAUGUUCACAUGAUUAAAGGUAUUCCGGUAGACGAUGGGGAUGCGUUCCAUUAGAUAGUAGGCGGGGUAACGGCCCACCUAGUCUUCGAUGGAUAGGGGUUCUGAGAGGAAGGUCCCCCACAUUGGAACUGAGACACGGUCCAAACUCCUACGGGAGGCAGCAGUGAGGAAUAUUGGUCAAUGGGCGCAGGCCUGAACCAGCCAAGUAGCGUGAAGGAUGACUGCCCUAUGGGUUGUAAACUUCUUUUAUAAAGGAAUAAAGUCGGGUAUGUAUACCUGUUUGCAUGUACUUUAUGAAUAAGGAUCGGCUAACUCCGUGCCAGCAGCCGCGGUAAUACGGAGGAUCCGAGCGUUAUCCGGAUUUAUUGGGUUUAAAGGGAGCGUAGAUGGAUGUUUAAGUCAGUUGUGAAAGUUUGCGGCUCAACCGUAAAAUUGCAGUUGAUACUGGAUAUCUUGAGUGCAGUUGAGGCAGGCGGAAUUCGUGGUGUAGCGGUGAAAUGCUUAGAUAUCACGAAGAACUCCGAUUGCGAAGGCAGCCUGCUGGACUGUAACUGACGCUGAGGCAUGAAAGCGUGGGGAGCAAACAGGAUUAGAUACCCUGGUAGUCCACACGGUAAACGAUGAAUACUCGCUGUUUGCGAUAUACAGCAAGCGGCCAAGCGAAAGCGUUAAGUAUUCCACCUGGGGAGUACGCCGGCAACGGUGAAACUCAAAGGAAUUGACGGGGGCCCGCACAAGCGGAGGAACAUGUGGUUUAAUUCGAUGAUACGCGAGGAACCUUACCCGGGCUUAAAUUGCAGAUGAAUUACGGUGAAAGCCGUAAGCCGCAAGGCAUCUGUGAAGGUGCUGCAUUGUUGUCGUCAGCUCGUGCCGUGAGGUGUCGGCUUAAGUGCCAUAACGAGCGCAACCCUUGUUGUCAGUUACUAACAGGUUCCGCUGAGGACUCUGACAAGACUGCCAUCGUAAGAUGUGAGGAAGGUGGGGAUGACGUCAAAUCAGCACGGCCCUUACGUCCGGGGCUACACACGUGUUACAAUGGGGGGUACAGAGGGCCGCUACCACGCGAGUGGAUGCCAAUCCCCAAAACCUCUCUCAGUUCGGACUGGAGUCUGCAACCCGACUCCACGAAGCUGGAUUCGCUAGUAAUCGCGCAUCAGCCACGGCGCGGUGAAUACGUUCCCGGGCCUUGUACACACCGCCCGUCAAGCCAUGGGAGCCGGGGGUGCCUGAAGUGCGUAACCGCGAGGAGCGCCCUAGGGUAAAACUGGUGACUGGGGCU